GGAAGAAUGGCUGAGCGGUCGAAAGCGAUAGUUUGCUAAAUUAUUGUACAUAUUUUCGUGUACCACGGGUUCGAAUCCCGUUUCUUCCA
rnacentral:tRNA from 1 species